AUGAAUUGGAUACUUCAAGAGAAGAGAAGAGAAUUGUCAGAUAAGGAGAGGCAUGGUGUUUACUUCGCCUUGCUGGUAAUCGAGCUCAGAGAUGGGUCUGUUCAACCAGACGACAAGCUGCUAGUCUCAAACCUGUUGGACAUAAGUGUACGAUCUGUUGAAAGAAUCUGGGAAGACGCCAAAAGGCAAAUUGCCGAUGGCAAAGAAGUAGAUGUCUCAAGCAAGAAGCCAGGAAGAUCUGGCUGAAAGAGAAAGGAGCUAAAUCUAGAGAGGACCUCAACAAUCCCACUGAAUAAAAGAAGAACAAUUCGAUCUCUGGCACGGUCUCUAGGUGUGGCCCGAUCGACCCUACAUAAGAGGUUCCAGUUGAAUGAGCUCAACCGCAUCACAAGCACCGUGAAGCCUCACCUCAAGCUAGAGAACAAGCUUGCGAGAUUGAAAUUUUGUAUGUCCAUGGUCGAUGACAAUUCGAUAUCAACUUCUCGUGCUAUGUUAAAACCAAUGACGAAUAUGGUUCACAUCGAUGAGAAGUGGUUUGACAUGACGAGAGUGAAGAAUAGUUACUAUGUACUUCCAGGAGAACCUGAACUGAAGUGCACCGUGUCAAACACUCACAACAUUGGGAAGGUGAUGUUCCUAACAGCCAUUGCCAAGCCUCGAUAUAACAAUGAGGGGGAGCUAACAUUCAAUGGGAAGAUCGGCAUUUGGGCAUUUGUCGAAGAGACUGAGGCGAAGCGGACAAGUCAAAACAGAACAAAGGGAACAAAAGUGUUGACAUCAGUGAAAGUAACUAGGCCUGUGUGCAGAGAUUAUCUAAUCAAUAAGGUUAUCCCGGCAAUUCAGGAUAAGUGGCCUGACAAUGAUGAGGGAGCGACAAUAUUCAUCCAACAGGAUAACGCAAAGCCUCAUGUCCUUCCCAAUGAUGUAGCUUUUUGA
rnacentral:rRNA from 1 species